rnacentral:rRNA from 1 species
UUAAGCGACUAAGCGUACACGGUGGAUGCCCUGGCAGUCAGAGGCGAUGAAGGACGUGCUAAUCUGCGAUAAGCGUCGGUAAGGUGAUAUGAACCGUUAUAACCGGCGAUUUCCGAAUGGGGAAACCCAGUGUGUUUCGACACACUAUCAUUAACUGAAUCCAUAGGUUAAUGAGGCGAACCGGGGGAACUGAAACAUCUAAGUACCCCGAGGAAAAGAAAUCAACCGAGAUUCCCCCAGUAGCGGCGAGCGAACGGGGAGCAGCCCAGAGCCUGAAUCAGUGUGUGUGUUAGUGGAAGCGUCUGGAAAGGCGCGCGAUACAGGGUGACAGCCCCGUACACAAAAAUGCACAUGCUGUGAGCUCGAUGAGUAGGGCGGGACACGUGGUAUCCUGUCUGAAUAUGGGGGGACCAUCCUCCAAGGCUAAAUACUCCUGACUGACCGAUAGUGAACCAGUACCGUGAGGGAAAGGCGAAAAGAACCCCGGCGAGGGGAGUGAAAAAGAACCUGAAACCGUGUACGUACAAGCAGUGGGAGCACGCUUCGGCGUGUGACUGCGUACCUUUUGUAUAAUGGGUCAGCGACUUAUAUUCUGUAGCAAGGUUAACCGAAUAGGGGAGCCGAAGGGAAACCGAGUCUUAACUGGGCGUUAAGUUGCAGGGUAUAGACCCGAAACCCGGUGAUCUAGCCAUGGGCAGGUUGAAGGUUGGGUAACACUAACUGGAGGACCGAACCGACUAAUGUUGAAAAAUUAGCGGAUGACUUGUGGCUGGGGGUGAAAGGCCAAUCAAACCGGGAGAUAGCUGGUUCUCCCCGAAAGCUAUUUAGGUAGCGCCUCGUGAAUUCAUCUCCGGGGGUAGAGCACUGUUUCGGCAAGGGGGUCAUCCCGACUUACCAACCCGAUGCAAACUGCGAAUACCGGAGAAUGUUAUCACGGGAGACACACGGCGGGUGCUAACGUCCGUCGUGAAGAGGGAAACAACCCAGACCGCCAGCUAAGGUCCCAAAGUCAUGGUUAAGUGGGAAACGAUGUGGGAAGGCCCAGACAGCCAGGAUGUUGGCUUAGAAGCAGCCAUCAUUUAAAGAAAGCGUAAUAGCUCACUGGUCGAGUCGGCCUGCGCGGAAGAUGUAACGGGGCUAAACCAUGCACCGAAGCUGCGGCAGCGACGCUUAUGCGUUGUUGGGUAGGGGAGCGUUCUGUAAGCCUGUGAAGGUGUGCUGUGAGGCAUGCUGGAGGUAUCAGAAGUGCGAAUGCUGACAUAAGUAACGAUAAAGCGGGUGAAAAGCCCGCUCGCCGGAAGACCAAGGGUUCCUGUCCAACGUUAAUCGGGGCAGGGUGAGUCGACCCCUAAGGCGAGGCCGAAAGGCGUAGUCGAUGGGAAACAGGUUAAUAUUCCUGUACUUGGUGUUACUGCGAAGGGGGGACGGAGAAGGCUAUGUUGACCGGGCGACGGUUGUCCCGGUUUAAGCGUGUAGGCUGGUUUUCCAGGCAAAUCCGGAAAAUCAAGGCUGAGGCGUGAUGACGAGGCACUACGGUGCUGAAGCAACAAAUGCCCUGCUUCCAGGAAAAGCCUCUAAGCAUCAGGUAACAUCAAAUCGUACCCCAAACCGACACAGGUGGUCAGGUAGAGAAUACCAAGGCGCUUGAGAGAACUCGGGUGAAGGAACUAGGCAAAAUGGUGCCGUAACUUCGGGAGAAGGCACGCUGAUAUGUAGGUGAAGCGACUUGCUCGUGGAGCUGAAAUCAGUCGAAGAUACCAGCUGGCUGCAACUGUUUAUUAAAAACACAGCACUGUGCAAACACGAAAGUGGACGUAUACGGUGUGACGCCUGCCCGGUGCCGGAAGGUUAAUUGAUGGGGUCAGCGCAAGCGAAGCUCUUGAUCGAAGCCCCGGUAAACGGCGGCCGUAACUAUAACGGUCCUAAGGUAGCGAAAUUCCUUGUCGGGUAAGUUCCGACCUGCACGAAUGGCGUAAUGAUGGCCAGGCUGUCUCCACCCGAGACUCAGUGAAAUUGAACUCGCUGUGAAGAUGCAGUGUACCCGCGGCAAGACGGAAAGACCCCGUGAACCUUUACUAUAGCUUGACACUGAACAUUGAGCCUUGAUGUGUAGGAUAGGUGGGAGGCUUUGAAGUGUGGACGCCAGUCUGCAUGGAGCCGACCUUGAAAUACCACCCUUUAAUGUUUGAUGUUCUAACGUUGACCCGUAAUCCGGGUUGCGGACAGUGUCUGGUGGGUAGUUUGACUGGGGCGGUCUCCUCCUAAAGAGUAACGGAGGAGCACGAAGGUUGGCUAAUCCUGGUCGGACAUCAGGAGGUUAGUGCAAUGGCAUAAGCCAGCUUGACUGCGAGCGUGACGGCGCGAGCAGGUGCGAAAGCAGGUCAUAGUGAUCCGGUGGUUCUGAAUGGAAGGGCCAUCGCUCAACGGAUAAAAGGUACUCCGGGGAUAACAGGCUGAUACCGCCCAAGAGUUCAUAUCGACGGCGGUGUUUGGCACCUCGAUGUCGGCUCAUCACAUCCUGGGGCUGAAGUAGGUCCCAAGGGUAUGGCUGUUCGCCAUUUAAAGUGGUACGCGAGCUGGGUUUAGAACGUCGUGAGACAGUUCGGUCCCUAUCUGCCGUGGGCGCUGGAGAACUGAGGGGGGCUGCUCCUAGUACGAGAGGACCGGAGUGGACGCAUCACUGGUGUUCGGGUUGUCAUGCCAAUGGCACUGCCCGGUAGCUAAAUGCGGAAGAGAUAAGUGCUGAAAGCAUCUAAGCACGAAACUUGCCCCGAGAUGAGUUCUCCCUGACCCUUUAAGGGUCCUGAAGGAACGUUGAAGACGACGACGUUGAUAGGCCGGGUGUGUAAGCGCAGCGAUGCGUUGAGCUAACCGGUACUAAUGAACCGUGAGGCUUAACCUU